rnacentral:rRNA from 1 species
AGGGGGUGCAAGCGUUGUUCGGAAUCACUGGGCGUAAAGGGAGCGUAGGCGGAACUACAAGUCAGAGGUUAAAGAUCCGGGCUCAACCUGGAAACUGCCUUUGAGACUGUGGUUCUUGAGUAUGGUAGAGGUCAGCGGAAUUUCCGGUGUAGCGGUGGAAUGCGUAGAGAUCGGAAAGAACACCAGAGGCGAAGGCGGCUGACUGGACCAAUACUGACGCUGAGGCUCGAAAGCGUGGGGAGCAAACAGGAUUAGAUACCCUGGUAGUCCACGCUGUAAACGAUGAACACUAGAUGUCGGGAGAGGUUUCUUCCGGUGUCGUCGCUAACGCAGUAAGUGUUCCGCCUGGGGAGUACGCUCGCAAGGGUG